GCUGCUGCAUUUCUCAACAACUGUUCUCAGCUACACAAAGAUCCAGCUAAAGCUCUGAAAUGAAUAUAUGACAAAUGGCAGCCCCAAAGGGACCCAUCUGGCCCUACAGCUGAUUUUCCACUCGCAACCAGGAGUGAGGUAACCAGAAAUGCAUGGAGCACAGCAGGCUAGCCUGGGCUUGUUCCCAUGAUGGCAGAAGAGCUCUCAGCAACAAGAUUGGUGAUGGAGAAAAAAAAACCUCAUUGUUUAUUAACACACAGUCAAGAUAGAGAAAGUGAGAAUUAUUUAAACUACACGAGGCUUUUUGGUGAAAGCUGUUUGGGGAAGAAUUAUUUCUACAAAUCUUUGUGGAUUGCAAUUGGAUCAGUGUGACAGGAGUUUAAAUGAAGCCCUGGACAGUGACUUCUGGAAGUAACACAUGAAGAUGUAAAGAACAAAAUCUGAGAUCACUGUUCUAAAGUCAAAUUUCUUUUGCUUAGGACAUAACUACUCCCAUGGAGAACAAUAUAAACAUAUUACAUUUGACACUUGAACUGGUUAAGUUUAUUAUGACAGGC